AUCAAAUUAAUUGUCCUUUUGAUGUAUCGAUCAAGAUAUAUCCUGAUCUGUUUAUUUACAAUGUAAUAAUCACAUAUACACAAAUAAGAUGGUCUCUCUUCUCUCCUGGACGUAAUAUGUACGUAAAUCGUUCUCGAGACAUAUGUUGAUGAUAUCGCAGAGAAAGUAUGGGGGAAUCUCGCUAUGGAAUAUUUUAUUUUUUAAAAUAUCCCUUUAAAACAGAUAGAUUAUAAUGUAACAAUGUAUUUUCAUUUUUUGCUUUUUUUUUCUUUUUUUUUUUCUUUUAUAAGAAUAGUAAUUCAUUACCUGGUAUUGUAAAGAUAAGAAAACUUUAUUUUGCUAUCAUUAGUAUUUCUCCACAUUUGGAUAAAUGUUUUAUAAUUUCUUGGAAUUGUAUUAGCAAAUUCAUUGAAUUUCUCUUUAAUUAGUUUUGUUCCAUUAUUUUCAUAUGUCGAGGUUAAAAAUUCUGAUUUAUUUUUUAUGCUUAUGGAAUUCCAUAAUACUGCAGAUUUAGAUUUAAUAUCUUUUGAUUCUAAUGGUUUUAAAUGAGCUCCAUUCACCUAUUGAAUAUAAAACGCAAUAGAAAUAGAUAUAUGUGACAUUGAA